rnacentral:rRNA from 1 species
GACGAACGCUGGCGGCGUGCCUAACACAUGCAAGUCGAACGGACGAGACUUCUUCGGAAGUCAAGUUAGUGGCGGACGGGUGAGUAACACGUGGGUAAUCUACCUUCGAGUCUGGAAUAACAGUUAGAAAUGAUUGCUAAUACCGGAUGAAAUUGGGAACGAAAUUUCAUUCUUUAUUAAAAGGAGCCUUUAAAGCUUCGCUUGAAGAUGAGCCUGCGACGUAUUAGCUAGUUGGUGGGGUAAGGGCCUACCAAGGCAACGAUGCGUAGCCGACCUGAGAGGGUGAUCGGCCACACUGGGACUGAGACACGGCCCAGACUCCUACGGGAGACAGCAGUUAGGAAUAUUCGUCAAUGGGGGAAACCCUGAACGAGCAAUGCCGCGUGAAGGAUGACGGUCCUAUGGAUUGUAAACUUCUGUUGUUAGGGAAGAACGACUAGUGUAGGAAAUGACACUAGAGUGACGGUACCUUUCAAGAAAGCUCCGGCUAACUACGUGCCAGCAGCCGCGGU